rnacentral:rRNA from 1 species
UAUGUGAUCGUCUCUCGCAUAUCAAUAAGCGGAGGAAAAGAAACUAACAAGGAUUCCCCUAGUAACGGCGAGUGAAGCGGGAAGAGCUCAAAUUUGAAAUCUUAAAGGGUUUCCCUUUACGAAUUGUAGUUUAAAGAAGUGUUUUCUGUUGAGGUUUUGGUAAAAGUUCUUUGGAAUAGGACAUCAUAGAGGGUGAGAAUCCCGUAUUUGACCAUUUACUUUCAGCUUUGUGAUACACUUUCAAAGAGUCGGAUUGUUUGGGAAUGCAGUCCAAAAUGGGUGGUAAAUUUCAUCUAAAGCUAAAUAUUGGCGAGAGACCGAUAGCGAACAAGUACCGUGAGGGAAAGAUGAAAAGAGCUUUGAAAAGAGAGUUAAACAGUACGUGAAAUUGUCAAAAGGGAAGCGUUUGACACCAGUGUUGUUUCUCUGAAAAUCAAUUAAAGAACUGUUUAUGCUAAGUUGUUUAGACUUUAUCAGCUAUCUGUUUAGUUUUGAGCUUUUCUUUAAUGCACUUUUCAGUUAACAAGUCAACAUCAAUUUCUUUUGCUGUAAAAAAGCUUGAGGAAGGUGGCUUGAGAUUCGUCUUAAGUGUUUAUAGCCUCUUGCCUAUGCAGUCGGAGAGAUUGAGGUCUGCAGCGUAGAUCCUUCGGGGCUAAAUGCAUUUGUGCUAAGUUAUAGCAUUUUAUAGACAACUUGUUGACUAUGAUUUGUCUUGUAGCUUACUCGCUUAUGUUAUUUUACCUACGCUUAGGAUGUUGAGUCAUCACACAUCUCU